CGCCAUCUUUUCUUGCACUUUCUUGGCGGCAACCAAACACAAGAUUAGAGAGAAAACUUUACCUUGCUCAUUGAUAUGAAGGAACAAAAGCAAAAGGUCUCGUCUCCUCUCUUCUCCUCUGUUCUCGGCAUUGCAAGGGCUUGGAGGAGUUCUUCAAUUGUUGGACUGAUUGUGGAAGAUUUAUGGUCUGUGAGUUUUCUGACUAUUCAAAGAACAGAUUUUGCUUCAUCUUCCACCCCUUCCCUCUUAUUUUUCUUAAACCUUGCUGACCUAUAUAGACAUUAAAGUUAUCAUUUUUUGUGAGCUUUUGUUUAAUCUGCUUCUUGGCUACAUUGUUAAGCAUCAUAGUUUUGGUGCAAACAGAGAAUUUCAUAUUCCAUUUUGGAACUUAGGAUUUUAUUCCCAAAAGAAAAGCCUUUUCUUUCAAUCUUUUGAUCUGAUUGUUUACCCAAAAUCCUUGUUUUUGAUUCUUACUAUCUUUCAUUUACAAUUCUCUUUCAUAUCCACUUCCUUCCUAGUUGGUUCUGUUAAUUCUUGCGAAAUUCACCUGGAGAUUGGAUGUUAGCCAUUUUGAAGAUCAUUCUUUUGAUCAAUUGCCAAAGAGAAUGCUUGGUGCUGUUUCUCCACUCAGCAAACUAUGACCUGAACAUAUAUGAUUUUGGGCCAGCAUGUUAUUGAUGCUUGAAGGUCCUAGUGUGGAGAUAAGCAUGUGAGUUUGUUUUUCUUGAGAUUUGAAGCAUGCCCCUUUGGUUUUUAACUCAUUUCUACAGCGGGUCUUGAUCACAACAUGGUUCUGCGCUUAAAUUCUUUUGGCUUGCCUCUUGUGGUCAGUUUUAUGAGAUUGUGACAUCAAGCUGCCCUCCACAUUGGUAUGGUGCUACAGAUUUGGAAAGAGUUUCCCAUCUUUUCGCUGUGCAUUUUCCUGCACUUACUGCAUCUGUUGUGAGGUUCACAGGGGCUAGUGGUUGCUUGGUUGUUGGGAUGCUUACUUCUCUCUCUGCAACUGUGGAUGUUGCACUUUGUUUUUGCUAUGGUGGUUUACCCAGUUUGCAGCUGGGUUUCAUUGGUUUCUGUUGCCAUUGGUAUCGGCAUGUCUUCUAAGAAUUUGAUGCCAGAUUUUAGACUUAUGGUUUGCUACCUCACUGCAUUUGAAAGGUUCUGUCAAUCCAUGUCUAGUACUCUAGGCACUCUACUCUGUUUUGGAGCCCUGGUGCUCAUCAUAUUUUUUGAGCCAUGGGGCUCACCAUUACUGGUUUUAGUAGAAAGUUCUUGUUUCCGGUUUCUGCAGCAAGUUCUGCGUUGCUUCCGGAUUUGUUUCCGGUUUUGUUGUUCUCCAUUGAUGUGUUGAUGUUUGCCGGCAAUACUUUGUUGGGUCUAUUGUUCUCCAGCCAGUGUUGGUGUUUUUGCAGCUGUCAUUCUAGUUUCCGUUGUUGCCCUUUUUUGCCAUCUUUUGUCUGCGAUCAGUGGUGCGCCUCUCACUGGCACCUUUGCGUUGCACUUGAUCUUGGCAUCUUGGAGCUCACAUUGAGCCUUUUACUUCUGCCAUGCAGGAUUUCUUCUUCUUCUUCAUCUAGGUUCAUAUGUGUGUACACUCCAUCUUGACUCUUGAGGGGGCCUAUUAGAAAUUGUAUUGUGGAUUUGUCUUUGUAUUUUGUACAUUUUAUUUUAGUCUACACAUUUUCCAUAUUUUCCACAUGUGAUUAGUUAGGAAUUACCGAAUUAGUUAGUUUGUUAGUGAUAUUUUCUUAGGCUAGCACUUGUAUAUAUAAGAGUGCUUUGAUGUAAUUUACAAUUUUACACACAUUGAUAAUACAAGCUAGGUUGCAUGGACACCAACAGUGUAUGGCAAUUUUUGAAAAACAAGGGUAUGACAUGUCUAGGGAACGACAAUUAAUUAAUUAAUAUUUAUAUUUAGGUAUUUAAAAAAAAAAUUAGACGUAAUUUAUAUUUAUUUUAGAAUUUAAAUUAACUAAGAACCGCAAAGAAGUACAAUAUCACUCAUAAAAUAGCAAGGAAAAAAUAUAGGUACAGUACCUUAAGUGUUGUUCCUUAGGUUCUCCUCUUCAAAUUCAGCCAUGUGGCUACUUAAUUAAAAAAUUCACUUUCAUCCCAUGAGAAAAAUCCACAUGACAAAAUUUUAAAGAUGAAAAUACUUUUUGGUCCUUAUAUUUUGGGGUUAUAGUCAAUUUGAUCCCUGUUAUUAUGUAACGACCCAAGGAAAAGCGCUAGCCAUAUCUGCGCUAUAUCUCAAAAGGACUAGUCACAAUUGAAACUCCUUAUAGUUGUUAAUAAAGCCCAGAUCUACCCAGUAAAUACCCGAUGUGGGACUCAUCACACACCCACACACAUCACACAAUUAAUCAAAUUGGGGUAUUACAAUCUCUCCCACUUAAAUCCCUAACGUCCUUGUUAGGGCCCACUUUGUGGGGUAGUGUCUCUGAGCCCACACGGGAUUACCGGACCGGCUCUGAUACCAUAUGUAACAACCUAAGGAAAAGCGCUAGCCACAUCUGCGCUAUAUCUCAAAAGGACUAGUCACAAUUGAGGCUCUUUGUAGUUGUUAAUAAAACUCAGUUCAACCCAGUAAAUAUCCGAUGUGGAACUCAUCACACACUCACACACAUCAUACAAUCAAUUAAAUUGGGGCAUCACAAUCUCCUCCACUUAAAUCCCUAACAUCCUUGUUAGGGCCUACUUUGUGGGGUAGUAUCUCUGAACCCACAUGGGAUUACCGGGUUAGUUUUGAUACCAUAUGUAACGACCUAAGGAAAAGCGCUAGUCACAUUUGCGCUAUACCUCAAAAGGACUAGUUACAAUCAAUUUGGUUCCUACUGUUAACUCAUUAACGAAAAAUGUCUACGUAGCUAAUGGUGUGUUGUUGGCAUGCUUGCUGCUGAUGUGACUACUUAAAUAGCAAUAAAAAAAUGUUAAUUAACAUUAAAUCAUACCAUGUCUAUUUUAAUUAAAAUAAAUAAAUAAACAAAAUAAAAAUUCCUUGUAUGGAAUUGCUAAAACCGUAGCCACUUGUUACUAAAGGAAUAUCAUCAGACAUUCAUAUUCAAGCAUAAAAAAAAUAUCAAGUAUUAACGCACAUUCAAACUCUCAUACCACAAAUUCAAAUCAUUGCAUUUUCGUUUGUCUUCCAUCACAAUACUACAUGCUCACACCGUUGUCGUCAAUGAAGCCUAAGCAAAGAAGGUCCAAAUCAGUCAGUUGCUCUCGUUCAUCAACAGUGGCACCAUUGACGGCGACAAAUCCACCACGGCAAGUCACAGUUCUCCCUUGCCGUUCACCACCACGAGCCACCGUUGAGGUGGUCUCCUUGCUCUAUCCCUCUCUCUACUUUUCUUGGACUACCGACUCGGUCUCUCCUUUGAUCUGUGAUGGUGUGAGGGUUUGGGUUGUUUAAUGGUUCAAAAUAUGUAUUAGUUGCGGUUGAAAUUUGAUUUUAGGGUCUGCUGGUGGUGGAUUUGGAUUUGGUGGGGGGUGGUGGUAAUUUGGGUUUGGUGAUGGUGGAUCUAGAUUAGUGGUGGUGCUAAACUUUUGAGGUGGUGGUGGUGAUUUGGGAUGUGGUGGGCCUGGUGGAUUCUGGGUUAAGUGGUGAAAAUAUUUGACAACUAAAAAAAAUUGCAAGAAAGUAAAAAAGAAAAUUGAAAAAGAUGUGAAAAUCUGUUUUGUUAUUGAGAAAUGUUAGGAAAAUUAAAAAAAAAUGAUAAAAUUGGUAUAUAUUAAAAAAAAAAAACUAUUUUUAAAAUUGAUGUUUUUUUUGCUAUGUAAGCGUUGAUGUGGCAUUAAAAUUUUGACACAUCAGCAUUAAACAUUUAGCCACAUAAGCAUUUUCCGUUAAUGAUUUAACGGUAAGGAUUAAACUGAUUGUAAAUUGAAAAUAACAGGGACCAAAUUGACUGCUAUCCAAACGUGGAGACCAAAUUGAUUGUAACCCCAAAAUGUAGGGACCAAAAUGGUGUUUUCACCAAUUUUAAAAGGAGAACCUAAGGAACAGCACAUAAGUACUGUGCCUAAGUUUUGCCCAAAUAGCAAAUACUAAACAAUAAAACAAUUAGUCAGGGGUCAUUUGUUACUGCUGUUUAAACAAUAAUUUUCAGUGUUUAAACAACAUUACACGUAUUUUCAUACACUUUUUCACUUACAAGUAUUUUCAAAAAAUACAAACAAUUUUACUAAGAAUCUCUUGCACUCAUUUACUAAACCCAUAUAAAAAAACCCAUAAAAUUAGAAAUAGUCAAUUACUAAACAACAAUGUGAAAAUUGCAAAAAUGAUAAAACCCAACCAAAAAAAGAAGAGAAAAGAAGUGAGAAAGAAAGACCGAAAGAGAGAGAGAAAUCAAAUCCUGAAGGAGAGAGAAAUUUCGUUCUAUGACGGAGGGAGAGAGAGGGAGCUUUGGGGUCGCUGGCAGGGGUUCUUUUGUUGCUGAUCUACAGCAGAGUGACUCGCUCAACAUCGACAAGGCAAGAACAGAGCAAAGAGAGGUGCUGAGGGGCAUCGGUGCAAGAGAAGGAAGAACUGAGAGGCAGAUGUCUUUUAGGGCUAUUAGUUGAUUGUUAUGCUCAAACCAGGAUCAACAAAUUUAAAAAUGGAUGAGACUAUGAAGCAAUUCCAAGAGGGCUUAAUUGAGCUUGAAACUGAAGCUGAGCAUCUUCUUUUAGCUCGCCAUCAGCUAGUUGAAAAUGAUAGAGUGAGGAAUGGGAAUAGGGAGGCGCUUACUGCAUUGAGGAAGAGGGUUCGGACGACAAAAACUAGCGUUCCAUCUCCUUUUGAGUCAAUAAUGAGAGAUAUUGGGGGUCCCGAAUCCAAACCCUUGGUGAAGGAGGUAUGUACCACCUGUGGCAACCACGACUCUAAUGAGCGGACAUGGAUAAUGUUCCCUGGGACUGAUCUCAUUGAUCAAGCACAACUUGACUUUGAUGCAAAAAGACUACAGAGCUAUAUGAAAGAGAAGUCCCUUUUGAUUUCAGAAAGAGGUGCCAUUGCUGACAAGAUCAGUCCAGGUGUACUCAAAUCUCUCAUAACCCUCUCAGACAAACCAAAGGCAAAUAGGUUAUGCCAUUGUUCCAAUGAUUGCAAGGGGAAUCAUGCUGGUCCUAAUCAGCCUGUGAUUCUGUACUUGCUUGAUAUUGAACAGGCGGCUGAAUCCUUGAAUGGUAUAAGUAUGGAAUUGACUGAUGCUGCCUUUCCUCUUCUGAAAGGUGUGGUUGCUACCACAGAUGUUGUUGAAGCUUGUAAAGAUAUCAAUAUUGCUGUUAUGCUUGGUGGAUCCCCAUGGAAGGAAAUUACGUUGAGGAAGAAUAUGUUGUCUACAAAUGCGUCUAUUUACAAGGCUCAAGCUUUGAUCUUGGAGGAGCAUGUUGCUGCAGAUUGCAAGGUGUUAGUUGUUGCCAACCCAGCAAAUGCUAAUGCCCUCAUCUUAAAACAAUUUGCUCCUUCAAUGCCAAAGGAAAACAUCACAUGCCUAACACGACUUGAUCACAACAGAGCAUUGGGCCAAAUAGCUGACAGGCUAAAGGUUCAUGUUAGUGAUGUCAAGAACGUAAUCAUCUAGGGAAAUCACUCUACAACUCAAUAUCCAGACGUCAAUCAUGCAACUUUCACCACCAGAAAUGGAGAGAGACUAGUCAGAGGACAUGUUGCUGACGGUCAUUGAAUGUGUAGGACACCCUCAGUGGAAAAUUGCAUGGAGGAAAGUUCGUGGAAGAGGGAUCUUUGAUCAAAUCUGUUGAUGUGAAGAUUUUCUCUCCUUGUGGAAAAUGCAGAACGUGUAGGACACCUUGUCACCCUUGGUGGAAAAUUACAUUGAGGAAAGUUUGUGGAAGAGGGAUCUCUGAUCAAAUCAAUUGACAUGAAGUUUUUCUCUCCUUGUGAAAGAUGCAGAACGUGUAGGACACUUUGUCACCCUUGGUUGAAAAUGGCAUUGAGGAAAGUUUGUGGAAGAGGGAUCUCUGAUCAAAUCAAUUGACGUGAAGUUUUUCUCACCUUGUGAAAAAUGCAGAACGUGUAGGAUACCCUGUCACCCUCAGUGGAAAAUUGCAUUGAGGAAAGUUUGUGGAAGAGGGAUUUUUGAUCAAAUCAAUUGACGUGAAGUUUUUCUCUCCUUGUGGAAAAUGUAGAACGUGUAGGACACCCUGUCACCCUCGGUGAAAAAUUGCAUUGAGGAAAUUUCGUGAAAGAGGGAUCUCUAAAAUAUGAAAUUGUGUGGUUUAAAAUAUGUCCAAUUUAAAAGUGUGGGGUUUAAGGUGUCCCAAACAAAAAAAUAUAAUUUUUUUUUACUUACUUUUCCUUAAUAUUAGCAUUUUCUCAUGAAAUAUCCAUUGGCUUUAA